AUUGAACGCUGGCGGCAGGCCUAACACAUGCAAGUCGAGCGGAAGAAGGGAGCUUGCUCCUGGAUUCAGCGCCGGACGGGUGAGUAAUGCCUAGGAAUCUGCCUGGUAGUGGGGGAUAACGUCCGGAAACGGGCGCUAAUACCGCAUACGUCCUGAGGGAGAAAGUGGGGGAUCUUCGGACCUCCCGCUUUCAGAUGAGCCUAGGUCGGAUUAGCUAGUUGGUGGGGUAAAGGCCUACCAAGGCGACGAUCCGUAACUGGUCUGAGAGGAUGAUCAGUCACACUGGAACUGAGAAACGGUCCAGACUCCUACGUGAGGCAGCAGUGAGGAAUAUUGGACAAGGGGGGGAAGCCUGAUCCAGCCAUGCCGCGUGUGUGAAGAAGAUCUUCGGAUUGUAAAGCACUCUUUGUGGUGAGGAAGGGCAGUAAUUUAAUAUCGUGCUGUUUUGACGGUACCGACAGAAUAAGCACCGGCUAACUUCGUG
rnacentral:rRNA from 1 species